rnacentral:rRNA from 1 species
UACAGAGGUCUCAAGCGUUGUUCGGAUUCAUUGGGCGUAAAGCGUGCGUAGGCGGUCCUGUAAGUCGGCUGUGAAAUCUCGGAGCUUAACUUCGAAACUGCAUUCGAUACUGCCGUGCUUGAGGACUGGAGAGGAGACUGGAAUUUACGGUGUAGCGGUGAAAUUCGUAGAUAUCGAGAGGAACACCGGUGGCGAAGGCGGCCAACUGGACAGAUACUGACGCUGAGACACGAAAGCGUGGGGAGCAAACAGG